rfam:Brachypodium distachyon strain Bd21 chromosome 3, whole genome shotgun sequence.
GUAGUACUCCCUCCGUCCAACAAAAAAUGUCUCAAAUUUGUCAAAAUUUGAAUGUAUUUAGACAUGACUCAGUGUAUAGAUGCAUUCAAAUUUAAUCAAAGUUAAGACAUCUUUUGUUGAACGGAGGGAGUAUAUA